rnacentral:lncRNA from 10 species
CACAGGAUGGAGCAAGGCCCUAGGUAAUGCCCCUCUGAAAAAUGUUUGCUGCUGGGAGGUACCCAUACAGUAUUUUUAGCCAAUCCAAAUAUUUUGAACACCUUUAUUUUACCAGUGAAAAUUCAUUUCCCUUAUUAUAAUUACAAAUUCUUUAGGGGUGAUUGGAGAUAAAAAUAGUUGAAGCCUUGUCACAGACCUCUGGUACGUGAACUGAUUAGCUUGUCAGGUGCUCACUAAGCAUACCUGAAAUGUGGAUUUUUUU